UCUCACUGAGAGUCCACCGCUAGCAACUAUGGCGAUCGAAGUGCUUGGAUUGUUCUCUGGUUUGCCUGCCCUCCUACCGAUGCCGUUUGCUACAGCCCAUAGGUGACUCUGCAAAAUUGGAUUUGUACACAGUAUUUGAUCAGCUGAAAGAAAGACAACUGACGAAGCAAAAGAACAGCAAAGCAAGUGGAGAGUCUUCGAAGGUAGGAGAAUGGCUAGCCCGAGUUAAUGAGUCAUGGAGGGAAGUGCAGAUUGUGUCAACAUUUUUUUUUUUUUUAAUAUAUAUUUUGAAUAAACAACUAUGGUUGUACUCUGUUUUGUUUUUGAGAAUGUGUAAUCCUCCCUCUCAACUUGAGGGCUACAAUGCACAGGACAAGGAUGGAAUAACAACC